rnacentral:rRNA from 1 species
ACGGAAGGCAGCAGUGAGGAAUAUUGGUCAAUGGGCGGAAGCCUGAACCAGCCAUGUCGCGUGCAGGACUACGGCCCUACGGGUCUUAAACUGCUUUUGCAAGGGGAUAAAGUGGGGCACGCGUGCCCCUUUGCAGGUACCUUGCGAAUAAGGAUCGGCUAACUCCGUGCCAGCAGCCGCGGUAAUACGGAGGAUCCGAGCGUUAUCCGGAUUUAUUGGGUUUAAAGGGUGCGUAGGCGGGCUGUUAAGUCAGCGGUGAAACCCCCGGGCUCAACCCGGGGACUGCCAUUGAAACUGGCGGCCUUGAGUACGUUGGGAGUGCGCGGAAUGUGUGGUGUAGCGGUGAAAUGCAUAGAUAUCACACAGAACACCGAUCGCGUAGGCAGCGCACUACGCCGCAACUGACGCUGAGGCACGAAGGUGCGGGGAUCAAACAGGAUUAGAUACCCUGGUA